UACGAGGGGGGCAAAUGUUGUUCGGAAUCACUGGGCGUAAAGGGAGCGUAGGCGGGUUUCUAAGUCAGGUGUUUAAUCCCGGGGCCCAACCCCGGACAGGCACUUGAAACUGGGAAUCUUGAAUGGUGGAGAGGUCAGUGGAAUUGGGGGUGUAGCGGUGGAAUGCGUAGAGAUCCCCAAGAACACCAGUUGCGAAGGCGGCUGACUGGACACAUAUUGACGCUGAGGCUCGAAAGCAUGGGGAGCAAACAGG
rnacentral:rRNA from 1 species